GUAGUGAACCUGCGGAGGAUCAUUAUCGAAUUGUGCUGGGGGGGUUGAUGCUGGAAGCCGUUUCAUGUGCUCGCCCCCCCUAACAAUCUUCAUCCAACUGCCACCUGUGCACAUUUCGGGAGGGGGGGUCCCCGAGUUUGAUUGCCUCUGUUGUUGGUGAUUUUUCUUCGGGGUUUCCUUCCUCUCCUCAUAUAUACACUGCCUUUACAAUAUUGAACGUGAUUGUGCCGCAAGGCCUUUGUUGCAAUACAACUUUUAACAACGGAUCUCUUGGCUCUCGCAUCGAUGAAGAACGCAGCGAAAUGCGAUAAGUAAUGUGAAUUGCAGAAUUCAGUGAAUCAUCGAAUCUUUGAACGCACCUUGCGCUCCCUGGUAUUCCGGGGAGCACGCCUGUUCGAGUGUCNUGAAAUUCUCAAGCUUGGAUGGUUUUCCGUCUUAAGCUUGGUAUUGGGCUUUGCUGUGCCUUUCGUUGGAACAGCUGGCCUUAAAAGCAUUACCUGAUCCUCAUGUGUGUGGCAUUGGUUCCGCUCAGCGUGAUAAUGAUCUUGACCGCUGGGGACAUCUUUCUAGAUGGCCAAUUCUCUCAUCUGGGUUGCUUCAAAUUUGGCUUUGACAGAUUCUGAAUCUGUUUUGCCUUCUGUUUUGACCUCGAAUCAGGUGGGACUACCCGCUGAACUUAAGCAUAUCAAUAAGC
rnacentral:rRNA from 1 species